CACACUGCUCUGGGGUAAGCAGUGUCCACCAAACAGAUUAUUCCAUCCUCGUAGGCUUUGGUUUCAAUAGUGCUACAUUCUUGAUAGCGGCCAAUUGCUUUGCGUAUUUUCAACAGAUUGUCCAUAAAUAUGUUGGCAAUAUUAAAGUCGUACACUUAUCAAUGUUUAAUGUAGGCACGGCAAUGUUAUUUUACUUGCAUCAGAAUUCUGAAUAACUAACAUUUAAUUUCAAUGCACUUUUUUCAAUUACUCUUCUCGAACUGGGCAUUGGAGAGAAUGGCCACAAUUUCAAAGAACAAAAGUGCUUGGGAGGUUGUCCCAGUCGGACCACAUUGUAUGAUGCACACAAAGCAAGGACUUUUUAAGCGAAAAGCCAGCUGAAAAACAAGCUCACGUGUUCUCAAAAUGAAAAACAUGAAGAACUGGAAUAAAAAGGAAAAGGGGAAGCAUGAGAAAUUUAAACCUGGAUCUAAGAAAAGAGAGAAAUGUGUGGUCAUGUUCAACGAUAACGAGCGACAGGAGUAUCUGACAGGAUUCCACAAGAGAAAGGUGGAGAGGAGGAAAGCGGCAGUGGUGGAAAUCCAGAACAAGAUAAAGGAGGAGCAGAAGAGAGUCAAAGAAGAGAGACACAAGGAGUAUUUGAAGUUGCUGCAGGAAAGAAAAGAGGCUCUCGAUGAGGAUGAUGAUGAAGAAGAUGAAUUGGAGGAUGUGAUAACGGGCACAACCGAGUCUGUACAGUACGAUCACCCCAACCAUACUGUUACCGUAACAACCAUCAGUGACCUUGACCUCACGGGGGCCAGCCUCUUUACGCCAGCAACCAAUCAGGUUACUGAGGACGGUGAGGAGGAGAAGGAGGUGGAGGAGCAGGAGAAAAUGAGCGCUAUGCCAAAGAAAUCUGGGAAUCCCAUCCUCAAUAAAAAAAUCUGCUCACUGAACGCCUCGCUCCACGCUCACCAGACGCAGCGGAAGGGAAGCAGGAAAGGGAAGCAGGAAGGCAAAGGACGAGGCCGGCCAACAGACAAGAAGCCAGGUGCCACAGACAAGAAGGGUAGAAUUGAGAAGAACAGAGUUGGGAGGACCAGCAAGAAGCAAAGACGCAGACUGACUGGGAAGAGGUGUUCUCCGAGGGGUGCGAUGAGUGAGCACCUGCCACCUCUGGACACGCCAUGCCCCUCUCCGGCGAUGACCUUAUCUGUCCCAAGUUCCAGCCCAACAUCUUCGACUCCUCCCGUUGCCACGACUGCCUGCGCCAGAAGCACCUGCACUCGGGCACGAGUACAGGCACGGGUACAGCCGAAACACUACAGCUGAGCCUCACAGCGGAGAAGGAGCCAGGGCAAGCCACUGGACCUCCACCAACACUACUACCAGCACCACAGGCAGUGGAGAGAAAUACCAGUGCCAAGACAGAGGGAGAGGGGAUUAGAAGAGUGGAGGACUCUGAUGGCCUGUCAGUGGUGAGCAGCUUCUGUGAUGUCAGCGGAGAUCAGCUGGGUUACGAGGAGAGCUCCUUGUGCAUCCUGAGCCCUGACUGUGACCUCUACAUCUGUGACGGAGACGACGACGACAGCACUGACAGCUGUCGGGACCAGAGUGUCUACGCUGAUCUCAGUGGCUCCAUCAGUGCAGAGGACCACUAUCUGUCUCUCCGGCACCGCUCAACCCACCUCACCAUGAACCACCUGGACCCACCACCGCACCGAACCAACCCCAAUGCCUGGAUGGAGGAGGACAACAGCAGGGGCAGGAUUGGCAGACACUCAGGGUUAAAAGAAGAAAGGAAUCGUGAAAGUGGCUACUUCUCUCUGGGGAGGGCAGGAGGAGCCCGUUCUCUCAGGGAUCAGAGCCCUCCUCCCGUUUACCGCCAUUCAGAGAGGGGACAUCCCCUCUACAGCAACCGGAGCCCUGAACCCAAAGCUACCAUCCCCUUCAGGAACCCUAACCUGGGGCUGGCCUCGGAGAGGUUAAACCCAGAGAUACUAAACCCAGACCUGCCUCUGGAAAUCCCUGAACCUCCUGACGCAUUUGAUCUCACCAUCGAGGUUGAGGCUCAGGUGGGCCCUCGCUCCCCAAGCCCCACCCCUUUUAAGAUAGCAGAAUCCCUGGCCUCCACUAACCGGAGGGGUUUCAACAGCUCAUACAGUAGAAGAAACUCCCCUUCCUAUCAGGAGUCUGGGAAGUUCAAUUCAUCGAGACAAAGCUCCUCUCUGUCCCGCUCCUCUUCACCCUUACGAAACACCUCCCCAUUCAAACGAAGUGAAUGUACCACCUCCCUCAAUAGGCGGGGCUUAGACUCUGAGGGCUGGUCUCAGGGGUGGGACCAGACUUCUAGAGGUCCCCCCCAGAGCUCUUAUGGACGAGGUGUUGAUAUUAGAGGCUUGAAUAAAAACGUAAUAUCGAUGGCCAGUUCAGUUGGUUCCAUAUCACAGGUCAACUCUGUUGCAUAUUUUAAAAGUGCAUUGCGCAAGAAUGAGACAGACAGCUCCUUAAAUGGUCGUGGACGUGACACUCGAAGCUCCGCCCCUUCAAGGAGGGGUUACGAAAGCCCCAGACAAUCUCUGGUCCGCAAAUCUGAAACAAGUAACUCCUUAAAUGGCCGUGACAGCAGAAGCUCAUCUCCCUCGAGGAGGGCUUAUGACACCUCCAGCCAAACCCUCCUUCGCAAAUCUGAUGGGAACAGCUUGAUAAAUGGUCAUGGUCGUGAAAGUCGCAAUUCCUCUCCUUCGAGGAGGAGUUACGAUGCCACCAGCCAGUCCCUCCUUCGCAAAUCUGAAACAAACAGUUCUCUCAAUGGUCAUAGUCGACACGGCGGCCGGUGUGGCUCUCCCAUUAGGGAGGGUUAUGAUGCCGAAAGACAAUCUCUGCGGAAAUCAGCUUCUAGGAAUGACUUAAGUGUUCAUGCCUAUGAAAGUAGCUCUUCCCCUUCUAGACGUGGCUUUGACACUCCUUGUCAAUUCCUGCUUUGCAAAAGUGAGACAAGUGGCUAUGGAAAUGGUCGAGGUCGUGACAGUGGAAGCUCCUCUCCCUCUAGGAAAGGCUAUGAUGCCCCGAGCCAGUCACCUCCGCGCAAAAGGGAAUCCAACAGCUACCUGAAUAGUCAAAGUCGAGACAG
rnacentral:lncRNA from 1 species